CGGGGUGAGUAACGCGUGGGUAACCUGCCUUGUACUGGGGGACGAACAGUUGGAAACGACUGCUAAUACCGCAUAAGCGCACAGCUUCGCAUGAAGCAGUGUGAAAAACUCCGGUGGUACAAGAUGGACCCGCGUCUGAUUAGCUGGUUGGUGAGGUAACGGCCCACCAAGGCAACGAUCAGUAGCCGGCCUGAGAGGGUGAACGGCCACAUUGGGACUGAGACACGGCCCAA
rnacentral:rRNA from 1 species